rnacentral:misc_RNA from 1 species
GAUGAAGAACGUAGCGAAAUGCGAUAAGUAGUGUGAAUUGCAGAAUUCAGUGAAUCAUCGAAUCUUUGAACGCACAUUGCGCCCUUUGGUAUUCCUUAGGGCAUGCCUGUUCGAGCGUCAUUUAAACCUUCAAGCUCAGCUUGGUGUUGGGUGUUUGUCCUGAGGGACUCGCCUUAAAGUAAUUGGCAGCCAGUGUUUGGUUUUGAAGCGCAGCACAAGUCGCGAUUCAAGGCUAUACACCAGCUUCCACAAGCCUUUUUCACUUUUGACCUCGGAUCAGGUAGGGAUACCCGCUGAACUUAAGCAUAUCAAUAAGCGGAGGA